AACAUCGCCUCUUGCUAACAAAGUAUAAGAGGUCCUGCCUGCCCUGUGACACUAUGUUUAACGGCCGCGGUAUCUUGACCGUGUGAAGGUAGCGUAAUCAUUUGUCUUUUAAAUGAAGACCUGUAUGAAUGGCACAACGAGAGCUUAACUGUCUCACUCUUUUAGUCAAUGAAAUUGAUCUCCCCGUGCAGAAGCGAGGAUAACCACAUAAGACGAAAAGACCCUAUGGAGCUUUAGAAUCUGAAACAACCCACAAUAAACAACAAAAUUAAUUCUCGGACCCUGUUUCUAUAUUUCUUCGGUUGGGGCGACCAUGGAGAAAAACAAAACCUCCAAGAAAAAAUUACCAAAUUUUAUCGAAACCCAGAGAAACAUCUCUAACUUCCAGAACCUCUGUUUAAAAAAUGAUCCGGUUUACACAACCGAUCAACGAAACAAGUUACCCUAGGGAUAACAGCGCAAUCCCCUUUUAGAGUCCCCAUCGACAAGGGGGUUUACGACCUCGAUGUUGGAUCAGGACAUCCUAAUGGCGCAACCGCUAUUAAGGGUUCGUUUGUUCAACGAUUAAAGUCCUACGUGAUCU
rnacentral:rRNA from 1 species